UUCCGAAGUAGCCCAGUUGGUAGAGCGCUUGCCUGUUAAGCAAAGGGUCGCUGGUUCGAGUCCAGCCUUCGGAGU
rnacentral:tRNA from 1 species